rnacentral:rRNA from 1 species
GACGAACGCUGGCGGCGUGCCUAAUACAUGCAAGUAGAACGCAGUUGCGAACGGGUGAGUAACGCGUAGGUAACUGCCUGGUAGCGGGGGAUAACUAUUGGAAACGAUAGCUAAUACCGCAUACUACCAGAUGGACCUGCGUUGUAUGAGCUAGUUGGUGGGGUAACGGCUCACAACGUCCACCAUAAAUAGCCGAGAUGAGAGGGUGAUCGGCCAAACUGGGACUGAGACACGGCCCAGACUCCGACGGUAGGAAGCAGUAGGGAAUCGACGGCAAUGGGGGGAACCCUGACCGGGCAACGCCGCGGGAGUGAAGAAGGUUUUCGGAUCGUAAAGCGCUGUUGUUAAGGAAGCGGAAAUAAAAGAGAAAGGGACGGCUAACUACGUGCCAGCCGCCGCGGUAAUAG